rnacentral:misc_RNA from 1 species
AACGCACAUUGCGCCCUUUGGUAUUCCGAAGGGCAUGCCUGUUCGAGCGUCAUUAUCACCCCUCAAGCCCCGUGCUUGGUGUUGGACGGCCGGUCGAGCGAUCGACCCCUCCUAAAGACAAUGACGGCGGCCUGUGGUUCCCCCGGUACACUGAGCUUUUCAUCGAGCACGUAUCGGACAAGGGCACCCGGGACCCGGUCUCUCCUUUUAAAUUUUAAUGGUUGACCUCGGAUCAGGUAGGGAUACGCGCUGAACUUAA